CCCGGAAGGAGAUUUCCGGAAGCGAAGGUCGCGCUCUGGAUCUGAAAGCUGAAGUUUCCGGCUAAGUUUAUGAUUUCUUCAGAUUUCUUCUGUCCCGCCCCGGGUUGUUGUGGAACUUUGUCCUAACGUCUCAUCUGAUCCUAAUAAAUACGUUGCUGAAAGCACAACGCUCCCAACAAGACAUUAGUGUUCGUGGAUCUGUAAAGAAUCGACUCUCCUGCAGAUAUCUGAGGGUCUACCAUAUGAUUUCAGAUGGAAGCCAUAAUAUUUUGCUAUUCUUUGCCACCCGUUGCUGACACUGUGUACGAGUGACAACUCCGAAGAGACAUGGCAACGGAGCAACUAAGGAUGGAAUCACAAGUGAGUAGGGAGUUCUUCUUUCUACUGAAAUAGCAUGUCUGUCA
rnacentral:lncRNA from 1 species